ACAUCCCGACACAGGGCGUUAAAAGUUACGCCAAGAUUCCCGACCAAGAUGUGACGCAAAAGGAGACUUUUUGUGUCAAUAACAAACACCAAAGGCAUCUGACAAAGCGUCCCUUUUUGAUGCAAUGGGAGUGAGAAUGUGUUUUCCUGAACACUGUGGAG